rnacentral:lncRNA from 1 species
AAAUACCACACACGUAAAUAAUUCUGAAACUGACUCAUCUUCUUUCAUUUGAGUCAUCUCAAACUGUUUUCUCAGCGUUUGUAACUUCACCCUCUUCAACUUUUCAUCUCUGCCGUACGAGUUAUUUAACUUGCCCCACACUCUUUUUGUUAUUUCUUCUUCAAUGAUCUUCUCAAACACAUUAGAAUCUACACAUUGAUGGAUUAAGAACAUAAAUUUUC